UAAGGAUGGAUUGUCAAACCAGGAUUUUCAUCCUGAAAUCCAGACCUCCUUGCUUUCAUAGAUUUCUUUAAGAGACUCUUAAAGUCUUCAGUUGUAAUAAUGUAAGCUUUGGUAGCAAUUGAGUUAACGAUUCUAAGUACUGCAGUAUGUUGUUCUUUGUGUUUUAAAGCCAGUGUGGACUGAUGGUUUUUAGUUUCUCUGAAAUGCACACGUCUUCAGGUGGGGAAGGGCAUGCUGUGGGUAGUCAAAUGCCUUCAGUCUGCUAGUUAAUAUUUGGAAGGUAACUGAUGUCAGUUUUAAAACUGCCUGGUUCUAGAAGUUUACAGUUGCUCUGCAUGCUUACUGUAUCCUGGAGCCGUGGAAAUCGCUCCAAACGGUGCUGUUCUGUAAGACCAGAGAGCUGGGCUGUGGCGACCAACUGUUACAAAUGUGAGGACUGAUCCUGCCUUUUUAAUCUGCUCUGUUUUUGUCACUGGCUUGAAUCUGUUCAGAGUAACGGUUCCUGUAAACUGCAGCAAUGAGUUGAAAACGGCUUUUAAGGCUAUUAAUAAGCAAUAUUUAAUCACAUAGAAAUAUGCAUGAAAUGCUAUUUGUACACAGCUGUUUUGAAAUUAAUUGAUGGUUUUGUAUUAAUUAGAAAAACUAUCAUAAGCAUUUGUGUAGUUACAGUGAGUUUUGAAAGGUGAAGUACAACACUGCAGAUGCUGGCUUCCUCAACCUGUGUCAUGUAUGGUGCUGCUGAACAACAGCUUCUAAGAACAUGAGCUGGUUUUGAUGAGCGUGGUGUGAUAGAAAACUGUUAGCCUGUGCUUAGAAAGUAAGAAGGGCAACCUGAAAUAUUGGAGUGACAACAUGGCCCAGGCUUACAAAAAGCUUCUGGGCUUUUUUUACUGAGGCAUUUACAAGCAGUCUCAUCAGAGAUGCUUUCAAAACAGUAUCUCAACUGAAACAUGGAAGUUAUUGUCAUUCCUUCUGACAGAAGUCCUGUUCUUAAGCUGAAUACGUCACUUAAAAACGCGUGCUCUGGCUGCAUGUCUUCUGUGGCAUCCUUUACUACCACUGGCACAACUAGCAGCUCUUACAAAAGCUACUCUCAGUCCUCUAGGUGCCAGGUAGCUUCAUGCCACUGCCUGCGUGCCAGUUGUCUGAGCACUGUAAUGGAAUGUGAGCUCCAGUGGAGAUCUUCCUAACCUGCUCAGCUGCCUGGUCACUGCGAGGUGUACUUAGGGACAGGCAAGUGACUCAAGUCUGUGAGGUUUUUCUACCAAAAGAUACCACUUCUGCUUCUAUCAGUCUAAUCAAGGAGCUUCAAAGCUCCAACAUGUCGAGGAGUCCUAAAUCCACCACACUUAGAACUUGUGAAGCGAUUGGGCUUCUGGCAUCCACACCAUUCAGUGGUAGGAUGCUUCUCCUUCAAAUUCAGUGCUGUGCUGAGGAGGGGAGGAAGGAGGAGGGCUAUUCUGUCACUCUUGAUGUCUGCUGCCUGGGUUUUAAAGUCGAUUUCUUUUUUUUGAGGAAAGAAUAAUUAAUUCUUCCAGCUUCAUCCUUUAUCUCUAAUGAUACCUCUGUAAUAUUUCUGCUUUUCUUUCUGCCUAGUGGUUCCUCUCAGCACAGAACCCAGAGGUGCAUGUAGUUCUGACUUGGGUAUUUAUACUUUUCCUGAUAGUGUUGGAUGCUUUAAUUGAAUUUUGGUAGGAGUGCUGUUCCUCAGAGCCAAUUCAGUGACCGAGCUGCUUGAGCAGUGGAAGGCUGGCAGGCUCUUUCCAACGUGCUUAUUUUCCAUACUUGGUUAUUUUUUUUUUACAUCUUUGUCAUUGUAUCCUGAGCAAACUGGCACCUCGUUCAUCUUUUUGUGGUGCUCACAAAUGUCUUAAAGCUCAAAUCCCUGAGACCCACGUGUAGCCCACCUUCAUUCUGCUGCUUGUAUCUUAACCAGCUGUUGUAGGGAGGUUCUAACGGACUUCUGUGUCCUUUUAGAACACGUGAGGAUUUGGGGAACGUGGAGCACUUGUAGCUGUUUGUGAAACUUUAAACUAGGUGGUCAUAGACUCCUCCCUCUUGUGGAGCAUGCACACCUUGCAAUGUCUUGGUUUUUUUCCUGAACUCAUUAGUCUGUGUUGAAUUCUUUUGUGAGCUGCUCUUGUUUUCUACUGACAUCUGACUCCAGAAGAUGCCUUCAUAGAUCUGAGCACUAAUGCCUACUGUCCUGUGCACAAACUGCUAGCUACUUGAGGCGGUGUCCAAGGGCUGUGACAAGUACUUGGGUAUCCUUGUUCCGACGGAUGUUUGGAAGGGUGAGGUGCAGGCAUUCAGCAUAUGCUCUUCUCUGGCAGCCUCCUUAGUUGCACUUACCAUUUGAUUGUACAUCAUCUUGUUUUGGAUACUGCAAUUGAAAGUUCAGCAUUGUGCUGGGGACUACUUGUUUUCCUUCCGAGUCUCACCCUUGACUUACAGUACUUAAUUGCAUUGAGCUGUUUUGUAAGCUGUAGUUGUAUUCAUUUCCUGCUGAUUGUCUUGUUUCUGUGCAAUUGCAGAUCUUGUAAUGUCAGCAUCUUCACUUGAUGAUUGGCUUUCCAGUUCAGUGUCAUUUUUUGAUUACUCAUAUUGGAGUACUGUGGAUGUAGGGGCCUGUCCUCAUUUGGCUUAAUCAAAACCCUCCAGUGAGGUCUGGGUUUCCUUCCUCCCAGAAUUCCCAUUGCUGACCUUGCUACUGCUGCUGAGGUAAUGUCAGACUACAGUAGGCUACAUCCUUCAGGUUUGAGCUGUGAGGUCUUUAGCACCUGGCAACUCUCUGAUCAGUCUUAAUUAAAACUUUCCACUGGAGCUUCCCUGGCAGUUCCCUGUUGCUUCUUAGUUUUAUUGUUGGCUAAUUCUAUAUGGAAAUGCUGUUCAGUGGUGCAUGUAAACUUGCAGCCAGGCUGUACUUUGUACAUGAAGUCUGUCAAAUAUCUCAUGCUGCUGUGCCUGUGUUUUUGGGCUUGUUCAUCAUGCGUGAAGUGACACAGAAGGAUGUGCUUUAGGCUGUGCCAGCUGUAUUUCAUCUUUUUGUAUCACUUCAGGACUUGAAUUCCCUUGCAGGAAAUUGUUGUCUGCCAUCACGAGGAACAUAUAUGGCGUUCUUCAGCUGUGUCUCAAUGAGUCUGCUUAAGAUAUGCUGCUCCUCCUAGAUUCCAGGUUCUCUCAGUAAGGCUGUCUGCACCGCCUGUACACAAAUGCUGCAUCUCUCUCCUGGAUACUGAGUGCACUGCAUGCUUAAGAUACUCCACAGAAGCAUUUGUCUUGCACAGCUGUUCUAACCUAGUGAAAAGUUACUCCAGACUGUCUGCUGCAGGUCUGCCAAGUGCUAAUGCUUUGUCUCUAACCUGAGAUUUUUGUUUGUUUGCUAACUGAGAUUUGUCUUUUAGACUGCAAACAGAUGGCUGCUUUGACUUGGUGCAAAGGUGUAUACCUUGAGUGUAAAGAAUCAGGAAGUAAGGAAAGAGGUGGGAGAGUACAAGCGCCUGCCCAGAGUGGAUUUAUGCUAGACUGUGUGAUUCAGUAGCAUAGCUGUGGUGUAUGUCUUGAUUACAGUAUUUCUUAAAGUAUUUUAUACGGCCUGCCUACACCGGUUUGCUAAGACUCUGCUAGCCUGAUGCUCUAAAACUAUUUUUAUCUUGACAGUAAUUCUCAAAAGAACUCCAUCUCUGCUUGUUCACUCCAGGUUUCGAAGAAAAGACUCUCCUCAGUGCACAAGUCCUUUGUCAGUGACUUGACUUGGCAGUUGUUACUUCUUCCUGGAGAGAGAGGGGAUCUUUAUUCUACCCACAGUUCUUUUUAAGCCUAAUGAUUGUGAUUUGAAGCCCGAAAAAGGUGUUACUCUUCUGAUUUCAGACCUUUCUAGAGACUCUGCCUGCUUGCUGACCCAGAUCACCCAGCUCAGAGGCUGGCCACAAAUGUCACUUAACGUGGUGAUGAGGUUUCCAAAGAAAUAAUGAUGUACUGCUAUAAAGCUUUAUCUCAUGACCUGGGAUCUUGCACACAGAAAUUUUUUUUUUACUUUGAGGCAUUUAAUUGGAUUCCCAUUAAUAAUAAACAGG